rnacentral:lncRNA from 1 species
UAAAAGUUGAAGUGUAGUGAGCGUAAUGUAAGGAGCCUUGUGUUUUGGGGUCUAUUUUAAAAUUAUAAAACAUAUCAGUAUUUUUUAACUUAAUUGUAUUUAUUUCCAUGAAGCAAUACUAAUGCAAUUGUAUUUGUAUUUUUGGCAUUUUGUACUCCAAUCAUAUGAUGUAAAGUAUCCAAUAAAACACACAGGUUAAGCUCCUCCUCUUCCACAAACUACAGUAUAUUAACUCCAGAAGUACCAGAAAGCUUUUAGAAGACCAGCAUUUACACUUCUCCACCCUAAAAAAGCAUAUACUGAGAUUUUUCGUCUUCCACUCUCUGCCAAACUGGAAAAACCCGAAGCAGCACCCUGAUCUGAGAUGUGCGCUUGGACCUCAGCUGAUCAUCACACUUGCACUCUAUCUGACAGCAGAAGCAGCGUAACAGUCUACAGCUGAAGAGAGGUUAAGCCCUGUGAGUGAGAUCCAAUUCCUACAGUUCCAGAAAUUUGAGACGUCUUUCUGAGGAGAAGAAGAUACUUCUUUCUGUCUACCAAUCAGGUCAGCCAUGAUUAACUAAAAAACAACAACAAUUUGGUAAUUGUAUAAUUAUGCAAAGGAAC